rnacentral:rRNA from 1 species
AUGGCCGAAGGUGAACAUGCCAGUAAGGUCAUAGAUUUUUAUGGAACAUUGAAAGAGAUCAUCCAGUUGGACUAUAACUCCAACGAUAACUUGGACGGCAGGUCAGUUAUUUUGUUUAAAUGUGACUGGUUUAAACUUGAUGGAAAGAAGAAGGAGCUAAAAAAUGACCGGUUUUUCAAAAGCAUCAAUGUUGAAAGUUUAUGGUACAAGGAUGAUUCUCUUAUUCUGGCUACUCAGGCAAGAAAGAUCUUUUAUUUUCCAGACACAAAGUAUGGGAAAAAUUGGCAAGUUGUGCAAACAUUUGACCAUAGGCAUCUCUUUAAUAUUAGUGAAACUGAGGGUGCACCUUUUACUGGUCCUGCAUAUCAAGAGGAGGAGUGUUGUGAUGAGGAGGGUACGAGAACGUCGGUUUCUGAACAUAUAUCUGAGAAGCCUUUGCAUAGAGACAAUGAGCAAGGCAUUAUUUUUGAAGCUGAUGUAAUUGCACGCUUGAUGAAAGAAAAUAACAUAGAAGUGUAUGAAGGUGGCAAUGAAGAUGAAUAUGAUACAGGAAUGGAGUAUUGCAGCGAAGACGAAGGAGGCGGCAUGAUGGAUGUUGACAACGAUGAUGAGUAG